rnacentral:lncRNA from 1 species
GUCGCUCAUCCAGGAUACGAUCAGCCCUGCUGCUGCCUAAUCCCUGAGCCAGGCAUUGUGAGUGGGCUGAAACCCUCAUCCCAGCCAUCCAUUCACAGAUAGAGCCAGUGGUCGCCCCAUCCCCAGCCCCAUUGCCCUGUUGCCCACCCACCAUAUUGAGCAAACAGGACAAGCAAACAGCGGGGAGUGCCUCAGAUAGGUCCCCCUGCCUCCGCCCAGAGCACGGGCCAUGAGCAAACACUCCAGCCUGCAGAACAAAGGAGGAUGAAUAAUCGGAGGGAAAUGUCAACGUUUCAUCAUGGCUGCCUUGGCCCGGUGAGUUAUCCAUUAACCACAGGCUGAGUGCUCUAUCGCAGGGACACCUGAAUGUACCUGCAACAAUAGAGAGAGAGAGAGAGUGAGAGACAAACACCAUUGUAAAUACAACCCAUAUUUAUGUUCAUUUAUUUUCCCUGUUGUACUUUAACCAUUUGCACAUUGUUACAACACUGUAUGUAUACAUAAUAUGACAUUUGUAAUGUCUUAACUAUUUUGGAACUUAUGUGAGUGUAAUGUUUACUGUUCAUUUUUAUUGUUUAUUUCACUUUU